rnacentral:misc_RNA from 1 species
GAUGAAGAACGUAGCGAAAUGCGAUACUUGGUGUGAAUUGCAGAAUCCCGUGAACCAUCGAGUCUUUGAACGCAAGUUGCGCCCGAAGCCAUUAGGCCGAGGGCACGCCUGCCUGGGCGUCACACGUCGUUGCCCCCCCAUCUACUCCUUCGGGAUUGCGGGGGGCGGAUGAUGGCCUCCCGUGCGCCUCGCCGCGCGGUUGGCAUAAAUGCCAAGUCCUCGGCGACGCACGCCACGACAAUCGGUGGUUGCGAAACCUCGGUUGCCCGUCGUGUGCGGUCGUCGCGCAUCGAGGGCUCGAAAAAAUUGCCGGGUUCCGGCUCGGCUUUCAACGCGACCCCAGGUCAGGCGGGGUUACCCGUUGAAUUUAAGCAUAUCAAUAAGCGGAGGA